rnacentral:tRNA from 1 species
UAGUGUAGUGGGUAGCACAUCUGCUUUGCAUGCAGAAGGUCCUGGGCUCACGCCCCAG